rnacentral:rRNA from 1 species
GAGUUUGAUCGUGGCUCAGGACGAACGCUGGCGGCGUGCUUAACACAUGCAAGUCGUGGGGGGUAGCAAUACCCACCGGCGAACGGGUGCGUAACACGUGAGCAACAUUCCGAUUUCUGGGGGAUAGCCGGCCCAACGGCCGGGUAAUACCGCAUACGCUCAUCGAGAGGAGUCUCUUGGUGAGGAAACCUCCGGGGGAAAUCGAGUGGCUCGCGGCCUAUCAGCUAGUUGGCGGGGUAAUGGCCCACCAAGGCGAUGACGGGUAGCUGGUCUGAGAGGAUGAUCAGCCACACUGGAACUGAGACACGGUCCAGACUCCUACGGGAGGCAGCAGUGGGGAAUAUUGGACAAUGGGCGCAAGCCUGAUCCAGCAAUGCCGCGUGUGUGAAGAAGGCCUGAGGGUUGUAAAGCACUUCGUGGGAG